rnacentral:rRNA from 1 species
AACCUCUGCAAUAAGCGAAAGCUUGACAGGGUUAUUCUGAGUGAUUUCCGCUAAGGAAGUCUUUUGGCACCUCUAAAAAUGGUGCAGAAUAAGGGGUGGGCAAGCCUGGUGUCAGCCGCCGCGGUAAUACCAGCACCCCGAGUGGUCGGGACGAUUAUUGGGCCUAAAGCAUCCGUAGCCGGUUCUACAAGUCUUCCGUUAAAUCCACCUGCUUAACAGUUGGGCUGCGGAGGAUACUAUAGAGCUAGGAGGCGGGAGAGGCAAGCGGUACUUAGUGGGUAGGGGUAAAAUCCGUUGAUCCACUGAAGACCACCAGUGGCGAAGGCGGCUUGCCAGAACGCGCUCGACGGUGAGGGAUGAAAGCUGGGGGAGCAAACCGGA